rnacentral:lncRNA from 11 species
UGAUCCCUCCCACACUUUGUUAAGGCCACCCCCUGCUUUAACUCGGUUAAUUCUGGGUUUUACAGCAUGUGUAGGAGGGCCCAUAGUCAAAUUUGAAAAACCCUCUAAAAGCCACAAGAGGAUUGUAGUUGACAGUUACUCAGGACAUCAUAGGGCACAUCUAUGCUGAGCACUUAAUCUGGGACCUGUCUAGAACAGUAUACCUCAGACUGCCCCAGCUGAAUCUUCAACAACACAACAGUUGUGUACAGCUGAUACAGCCAGGCUGAGACUGCAGCAUCCCUGCUGAACCAUCCACUAGUUCUUCAUGUUAGUUACCACUGCUGCUCAUGGCUGACAACAUACCUCUUUACUAUUGUGGUCUAGGCUGUCUGAAAGACCACAUUGUGCUAUGCAAGCUUGACCAGGAUUUCAGAUCUUCAAGGAAGGGUCUUGUCUUAAAUCAUCAAGUUCUACAAGGAUAUCUGGGAGUUCUGUAGGAGAGGAGAAAAGGGAAAUGGGAUGAAGUUUCACCUUGAUAGAACUUCUUGCUACAUCUUCUCAUCCUGGUUCUGGGACAAAAACAGAA